UACGAGGGGUGCAAGCGUUGUUCGGAAUUACUGGGCGUAAAGCGUGAGGAGGCGGCACGACAAGUCUGAUGUGAAAGCCCUGGGCUUAACCCAGGAACUGCAUCGGAAACUGUUGAGCUAGAGUUCGGGAGAGGGUCGUGGAAUUCCCAGUGUAGAGGUGAAAUUCGUAGAUAUUCGGAAGAACACCAGUGGCGAAGGCGACUUACUGGACACAUAUUGACGCUGAGGUGCGAAAGCGUGGGGAGCAAACAGGG
rnacentral:rRNA from 1 species